rfam:Camelus ferus unplaced genomic scaffold scaffold1009, whole genome shotgun sequence.
CCCUCAUGAUGACUGUAACUGUCAGCUGCAUGGAGCUUCACUGGAGGAUUUUCUGAACCUGAUGGAUUGACAAUGAUACUCAGCUGCCUGGGGAA